rnacentral:lncRNA from 1 species
UAAAAUACUACACAAUUAUUAAGGAAAACUAGAAAAAUACUACACUGACAACUUUCCACAAUUUUGAUUUUCAUUCAUUCAAGAAUCAAAUUUCAAUCUUGUUAUAUCAACUUACAUUGUUAAAUCAAUUUCUAUUACAUGUUCCUAAAAUCAAAAGAAAAUAAACCCAAGAACAAACAACAACUACUAAGAGAAACUUCAUUUUCUAUUUCUAUUACAUGUUCCUAAAACUAAAAGAAAAUAAACCCAAGAACAAACAACAACUAUUAAGAGAAACUUCAUUUUCUUUCUUAUGAUCUCAAUAUUUUACUCCAUCUCUUCCAUAUCUUUUAAAUACAUCUGACUCCCAAACUCUUUUCCAAAUUCUUUCUCAAAAUACUUCUCAAAUUUCCUCAAGUGAUUUAUCAUCAUCUCACGCGUAUUGCAUCCAUCAUCAUCUUUUUUUUUGGAAUUGAAUCUCUUUCAUUUGCACCAAAAAAUUCAUCAUCCCAAUAGAAUAACACAUAAUCUUCUUCUUUACCCCGAUACUUAGGACCCGUUU